rnacentral:lncRNA from 1 species
CACUUUUUCCAGUUGGUUUAUUGCACGUCAUGUACAGUCAUAUGUGGUUCUCCAUUCACAUACGAUUUGGAAAGACCUAUUUCAACUUUUCUCUGUAUAUACAAUUUCCAUAAGUUCUAAAUGUUUCAUACACACCACUACAAUAUAAGUCAUAAACGAUGUAUUUGGUAAUCAAAAUUUCUCAAUAACAGCACUUUCAAAAAGAUAUGUACUUUUUACUCUGGGAGCUGCGCUUUGUCUGCAGUGCGGUGUCUGCCAUGAAGGGACAGCGACACUGUAAGCGGUGAGAAGCCCACGCUGUGCUAUUCGCUGCACCCACCGGCCACGUCUCCUGUGAACUGACACUUCCUCCUCCUCUGCCAGCCCCCUGCAAUUAGUGCAGCAGAAAGACAGAAAGGAGAGUUCUACACUUGGGUGAACCAGUUUGAUUCAGCAUUGAGUACCAGGGAGGCAUGUAAUUUUGUUAUGUGUCUUCAUAGCAAAGGCAUAGGUAAUAUGUUAAGAGAAACCACAGAUAAAAUUACAUGUGUGUACCAUAUGAAUAUUUCUAAAAGUAAAAUUAUCUAUAAAAUGAAUCCUUUUUCCAUUUUAAAUAAAAUAGAAACUUUUGAAGAUGUUUAAAAACUACAUUUACUUAGAAACUUUAUGAGUCUAAAAAGUUCUCUGGAUAAUUUUUGCUAUUAAAUAAUGGAUUAUAAUCCAACAAUACGUUUCACUCUACUAAAAAUCACUUGCUGGUAACCCUCCAAUUGCUAAUUGUUACCAAGACAUAACAGACACCUUAUUUCAAACACACAAACCCCUCCCCCUCAAAAUGGAGAAACUUUAGACUGUCAUUUAUAAAUGUUA